GACCUGCAAGAAAAGUCUAAACCGGAGUUGGGGGUGCUCCGGCAAGAUCCUCCGACACUCAAGUCAGUACUCUGCUUCAACAGAAAUGGAGUGCUCGAGUGGGAAUUUUAGCAGAGUUUCGAUAUAGAGUUUAGAGCUUAGAGAAGAACGUAUCUGGGGGUCCCUUUUUAUAGACGGAGAGCGUAACUGAUUGACAACGACGUCUGUAACCGCCUGGUAGUGGACCGUUCAGAGCCACGCGGAGUUUGUUACGGAGAGUAGUAGCGUCAGGGGCCGUUCAGGGCCACGUGGAGUUUGUUACGGAGAGUGGAGUGGUGUCCGUUGUCGUAACUUGCCAGAGAGUGGUGGAGACACGUGGAAUCCGUUGCAGAGAGUGGAGUAUGGUAGUGGCCAUUGUCGUGACUUGCCAGAGAAUUCGGAUCUGUCGGCUGAAGCUCGGCUGGGAUGUCGGACGGAGCGGAAUGGCUCUCUGUCUCAUCAAUUCAGGAGAAGCUCGGAUGUUUCUGAGGUUGCUGAUGGGUCUACUAUUGUUGGGUGUCUAGAGCGCUGACACUGCAGGCGGGA
rnacentral:lncRNA from 1 species